AUUGAACGCUGGCGGCAGGCCUAACACAUGCAAGUCGAGCGGAUGACGGGAGCUUGCUCCUUGAUUCAGCGGCGGACGGGUGAGUAAUGCCUAGGAAUCUGCCUGGUAGUGGGGGACAACGUUUCGACAGGAACGCUAAUACCGCAUACGUCCUACGGGAGAAAGCAGGGGACCUUCGGGCCUUGCGCUAUCAGAUGAGCCUAGGCCGGAUUAGCUAGUUGGUGGGGUAAUGGCUCACCAAGGCGACGAUCCGUAACUGGUCUGAGAGGAUGAUCAGUCACACUGGAACUGAGACACGGUCCAGACUCCUACGGGAGGCAGCAGUGGGGAAUAUUGGACAAUGGGCGAAAGCCUGAUCCAGCCAUGCCGCGUGUGUGAAGAAGGUCUUCGGAUUGUAAAGCACUUUAAGUUGGGAGGAAGGGCAGUAAGUUAAUACCUUGCUGUUUUGACGUUACCGACAGAAUAAGCACCGGCUAACUCUGUGCCAGCCGCCGCGGUAA
rnacentral:rRNA from 1 species